rnacentral:lncRNA from 1 species
AGUCACAGUCUGUGGAGGUAUUUAAAAGAUAUAGAUGUGUCACUUAUGGACAUGGUUUCAUGGUGGACUUGCCAGUGCUGGGUUAACAGCUGGGCUUGGUGACAUUAGGGGUCUUUUCCAACCUAAACAAUUCUAUGGAUUUUGAUGUGUUCUUUGGGAUGAGACAGCAAGCAACACAUUGACAUUGAAGAGAGUUUGUUUAUUGAACCACCUGAAAGUAUCUGUCCCUUGUAUCCCCUUUGUGGUUAAGUCCCUUGUCCUCAGCCACGUGACUGCUUCACAGAUGGAGAAUGAGGAAUGGCUGUAAUCCUUGGUUUAGAAGGUUUUGCUGAGCUCACCCCUAUGGAGGAGGACUGGAGUUGCUGCCAGCCAUUAAAGGAGGUGCCUGCAACUGCCACAGUUUGCAGCCCUGCAGACACUGCUGGGAGAGGAAGAGGAGCAGCAGAGUCCUGCCUGAUGAGACUCGUGUCAGUCCCACUCCAACCCAUCAGCCCAUCCUUGAGCUGCCUCAGAGCCAUCCCCUUUUGGGAGAGGUGAAGCCCUGGUUCAAGUACUGCAAGCUGAUGUGGAAGACCUGG